GGGCUUGAGCCAGUGCAGAGGUCAGGGAAGGCUUUGCUGAGAAGGCAGAAAUUAGGGGAGAAGAGGGAAGAGCUGGGGUGGGGAGGGGGCAGAGGGGUGAAUGCGAGACUGGCACAGAAGGAAUAUUCCAGAGGUAGGGACUAGCUGUGCCCAGGACCUGAGACUGGGGGAAGUCUGGGCAGUGCACAUCAGAAGCCGAGAUCUUUGGUGGUCAGUUUUGCUUUGAAAAUCUGAGGCUGCGGUGGGUCUUAAGGCGUUCUCAAGAUCCUUGGGAUAGGGGUAGCAGGGUAGAGGUAGAACGGGAUGGAGUCCUAGGAGAAGAGCCUGUACGUCUCACAGUAGCUAAGAACUGGGCCCAGCCUAGAUGUCCACCUACAGACAAAUGGAGACAGGAUUUCUCUGUGUAGUCCUGGCUGUCCUGGAGCUCGCUCUGGAAAUCAAGCUGUCCUCGAAUUCAGAGAUUUGCCUGCCUCUGCCUCCUGAGAGCUGGGGUUAAAGGUGGGCACCACCACUGCCUGACUGAGGAAGAGAUCUUCAGGGCGGGAUGGGUCAUGGAAUACAUGUGACAUGGAUGUAGAAGGAAAGACUAUUUUGGGGAGGAAGGAAACCCCCAAAAGGGAUCAGAGAGAAUGUUGGAGGAUAAUGAGAUGGGAGAUGAAUUGCUUAGAACAAAACAUAAUCACACACACACACACACACACACACACAGAGAGAGAGAGAGAGAGAGAGAGAGAGAGAGAGAGAGAGAGAGAGAAAAUUAAUUUUUAAAAAAUGAGAAGAUACCUUCUUCCCUGGCCAUAUGGUCAUUAGUAUUUCAACAUGUGAAGGACAAGUGACAUUGGAUAUCUUCUUUGGUUUGGAUACCUUGCCUGGAAGGUGCCUGGGGACUCAGGAGACCUUACUAUAUCAUAUGCAGAGGUCACUCUUUGUCACAUGAACGCCCCAUACUCUUGAUCCUUCUCCUCAAUACCAGUUUCUCCAUCGGCACCUCUCAAAGCCUUUUGCAAAGAUAUCUCAGUGUAGCAGGGAUGGCGGCUUGGUGCCAUUAAGUCACUGUGUCUACUGUAACAGCCAACAGGGAGCCAACCCAGGUGGGAGUGGACACUCAAAGUGAAGGGAUCCAAAGACGACAUUGAUUGGAGGAAAAUGGCCACAGUGCCUUCUCCUGCCACCGUGCUAAAGGCAGUUUCUUUAUUCCUGAGGUACUUUCGCUUUUGACCGCAUCAGGGUCUAAGUACUUAAUGUUGACCUGAGUUGUCGAGUGGCUGCUCAAUCAGUGACUUGUGAUUACAAGACAGAAUGAGGAAUCCGGCAACCAGCUCUCUGCCGCUGUUCUGCAACCUUGUUCCCAAAAGGCAAAGGGGAAGCUCCAAGCUGUGGCUUGAUGCCGACUCAUCCACCGUCCAAGAGAGCGCAUGCCCCCGCCCCCCCCCCCCCCCCCCCCGUUCUUAUUGGGUCACACAUCCAGAGAAGACCACGCCCAUUGGGCCAAGCCACCCCAAUACAAUUGGCUAUCAGACCGAAUUCCCACAACAGGAGAGAGCUGCUUUUUUAUGGGUGGUGAGACUGGAAGCUGUGAGAAGCAGCCCCGAGGGAGCUAGGGCUCCAGCCCCACACCACAGACUCUUAUAUUCUCUGCAGCAAGCUGGCCAUGUUCUGAAGAUACACAUUGCCUUCCUUGCAUUUUACAACCAGUAUCUACCUGACUUGGGAAGCUUUCUUGCAUUGAGAAGGUGAAGCGUGGGACUAGAGAGGUGGCUCAGAGAUGAAGAGAGAGUGCUGCUUUUACAGAGGACCCUGCUUCGAUUCCCAGCACCCAGAUGGCAGCUCUAGCGACUACACGUAACUCCAGUUCCAGGAGGCCUGAUACUUGUGGUUCGCACAAACUCGUGUACAUAUACAUAUAUCAAUAAAAUAAACAAAUGCAUAAAUCUUAAAAAAUAAGUAAAUGGUGAAUACUCUUCCAUUGUA